rnacentral:lncRNA from 1 species
CCACGCUCCGUACGAGAGAGCGGACCGGCCAAUCAGAAGCUUUGAAUGAGUAUUUUACAAACUGAAGAAUUGGAUUGCUCUAGUUAGCGGCUGGGCUGGAAAGAACCGAGAGUGUGGCCUUAUUGCGGGAAGUGACCCUACUCUUGGACCGUGUGUUGUGGGGGGGGAGAAGAAAGUCGUGACCUUGGUCCUUCCCCACCCCAGGAGUGGUCAUGAUGACUCCCAGUGGGGAUUUGAUGGACACCCAUCUGCAAACUGCCUUUUCCACCCCCAGCAGGAUUCCCGUGUUGGCCCGGAAAUGCCUGCUUCUUUCUGGUGGAGGGUCCCAAGCCUCGGGCCAGGAGAAUCGGGAUCCAAAGGAGAUGAUGCAGAAGAAGAUGUUUGGUGCUCAGCUUCUCCAGAAAGACCUAGUCAGCCCUAGGCAGAAGCUGAAACAGCAGACUGUGGGCCUGAAGGGAAGCCUUCGACCCCGGGCCCCACUGGAGGAAAUCAGCCCAGGCUCUGUGGGGCAAAAUAUGGAGGCUGUUCCUCCGCCUAGGCCAGGUGCUCCUUUAAGGUCUAGAAAUACACCUCUCUUGGCUGUUGACUGCUGCUUAGAUGGAAAAGAGCCAGCCACAGCAAGGUCGACUGGGAAAGGGGCAAGACUGAUGGACCCUGGAGAUUUGGCCACCAUGCUGUCAAAGGUGGAGGUGACUAGCAGUGGUCACAGCUGCCAGACGGGUCUGGCCCAAAGAGUACUGAUCCGGGGGAACCAAAACCAAAAAUGUGCCUCCUAUGGGAUACAGGACCCAGAUGGGCAGUGA